GCCCGCCUAGCUCAAUCGGAUAGAGCGUCAGACUCUUAUAAUGGCAUAAACAUCUGAAGGCUGCGAGUUCGACCCUCGCGGUGGGCU